rnacentral:rRNA from 1 species
CGAAAGCCUGACGGAGCAAGACCGCGUGAGGGAGGAAGGCUCUUGGGUUGUAAACCUCUUUUCUCAGGGAAGAAGAAAGUGACGGUACCUGAGGAAUCAGCCUCGGCUAACUCCGUGCCAGCAGCCGCGGUAAUACGGAGGAUGCAAGCGUUAUCCGGAAUGAUUGGGCGUAAAGCGUCCGCAGGUGGCUAUGUAAGUCUGCUGUUAAAGAGUCUAGCUCAACUAGAUAAGGGCAGUGGAAACUACAUGGCUAGAGUGCGUUCGGGGCAGAGGGAAUUCCUGGUGUAGCGGGGAAAUGCGUAGAGAUCAGGAAGAACACCGGUGGCGAAGGCGCUCUGCUAGGCCGCAACUGACACUGAGGGACGAAAGCUAGGGGAGCG